rnacentral:tRNA from 1 species
GCUGGCUUAGCUCAGUUAGUUAGAGCAGGGGUCUGGAAAACCUUGAGUCGCAGGUUCAAAUCCCGUCGCCAGCA